GAUGAACGCUGGCGGCGUGCCUAAUACAUGCAAGUCGAGCGAACAGAUGAGGAGCUUGCUCCUCUGACGUUAGCGGCGGACGGGUGAGUAACACGUGGAUAACCUACCUAUAAGACUGGGAUAACUUCGGGAAACCGGAGCUAAUACCGGAUAAUAUAUUGAACCGCAUGGUUCAAUAGUGAAAGACGGUUUUGCUGUCACUUAUAGAUGGAUCCGCGCCGCAUUAGCUAGUUGGUAAGGUAACGGCUUACCAAGGCAACGAUGCGUAGCCGACCUGAGAGGGUGUCCGCCACACCUGGAAGGGAAACCCGGCCAAGCCCCCUAGGGGGGGCAGAGGUAGGAAUUCUCCCGAGUGGGGCGAACGCCGGCCGGACCACCGCCGGUGGGGUGAUAAGGUUUUUCGAAUCAAAAAACUCUUUUAUUAGAAAAAAAAAAAUGUGAAAAUACCUAUGCACGUCUGGGGGGUCCCUAACAAGAAGCCCAGGGCAAACUCCGCC
rnacentral:rRNA from 1 species